UACGUAGGUGGCAAGCGUUGUCCGGAAUCACUGGGCGUAAAGCGCGCGCAGGCGGCGAUCUACGUCUGGGGUGAAAGCCCGGAGCUCAACUCCGGGACUGCCUUGGAUACGGGAUCGCUUGAGGAUUGGAGAGGCAAGGGGAAUUCCACGUGUAGCGGUGAAAUGUGUAGAUAUGUGGAGGAACACCUGUGGCGAAGGCGCCUUGCUGGCCAAUUUCUGACGCUGAGGCGCGAAAGCGUGGGGAGCAAACAGG
rnacentral:rRNA from 1 species